rnacentral:rRNA from 1 species
GACGAACCGUGCGAACGUUGUUCGGAAUCACUGGGCUUAAAGGGCGCGUAGGCGGGCAAGCAAGUCAGGGGUGAAAUCUUUCAGCUCAACUGGAAAAGAGCCUUUGAUACUGCUGGCCUCGAGGGAGGUAGGGGCGUGCGGAACUUCCGGUGGAGCGGUGAAAUGCGUAGAGAUCGGAAGGAACGCCGGUGGCGAAAGCGGCACGCUGGACCUCUUCUG